rnacentral:rRNA from 1 species
UACGGGGGGAGCAAGCGUUGUUCGGAUUUACUGGGCGUAAAGGGCGCGUAGGCGGCGUGACAAGUCACUUGUGAAAUCUCCGGGCUUAACCCGGAGCGGCCAAGUGAUACUGUCGUGCUAGAGUGCGGAAGGGGCUACUGGAAUUCUCGGUGUAGCGGUGAAAUGCGUAGAUAUGCGGAGGAACACCGAUGGCGAAGGCAGCCUCCUGGGCCAACACUGACGCUCAUGCACGAAAGCGUGGGGAGCAAACAGG